GGAAUGGCUUAGCCACGCGCCUUGGAGGCCUUCGUAGUGACUGGAUCGCACCCAGGAGGUCGCCGGUUCGAGUCCGGCUAGCUCCA
rnacentral:tRNA from 1 species